AAACAUGGGCAGGGUUUGCAAGAGAGAAUGAAACAUAUACAAAGGAGCAUAGAUCAUCUUGGACUAUUAGACGACAAAGGAAAUGCAAUCAGUGAAGACGUAAAGAACCAAGCCACAGGUGCCCUUCAGAAAAUGCUAGAAGACCUGGCAGAGGCAACCCCAUCCAUCUCGGAGAUAAGGAAAGCACUCGUCAACAAAAUAUACGAGGAAUUCUCGUUGGUCGACAUUGAUGACCAUUUAGUUCUUGGACACCUCCCAUUUAAGAUGUCAAAGUUCAUUCGCGACCUGUUGGGAAUACACAUAUUUGACCCAUCUCAAAUAAAAAUACAUGUAUAUUCCAAGGAUGUAUUCGUAAAGUUGUUUGAAA